rnacentral:rRNA from 1 species
UACAGGGGGGGCGAGCGUUGUUCGGAAUUACUGGGCGUAAAGGGUUUGUAGGUGGCUUGCUCAGUCAGACGUGAAAUCCCUCAGCUUAACUGGGGAACUGCGUCUGAUACUAGCGAGCUUGAGUGCAGGGGAGGAACGCGGAAUUCCUGGUGUAGCGGUGAAAUGCGCAGAUAUCAGGAGGAACACCGAUGGCGAAGGCAGGUCUCUGGGCAUUAACUGACGCUGAGGAGCGAAGGCAUGGGGAGCGAACAGG